GUGAAUCAUCAAAUUUUUGAACGCAAAUUGCACUCUCUUCGGAGAGUAUGCCUGUUUGAGGGUCAGCCUAAAAAAAAUCGACAUAGUCGCUGUUUCGCGGUGACAUUCGUCGGAAAUUGGUUCAUCUUGAACCUUAGGGUUUUAAGCGGCUUAAAAUUCUCUUUACGAAUCUACGAACGGUUCUAUGAUUUACUUACACGCUUAAGGUAACGAUUUUUAUUAUACGUGGCCGUGUCAUCGGAGCCCGGCCAUAAAUAUUUCUUUAA
rnacentral:misc_RNA from 1 species